rnacentral:tRNA from 1 species
GGCGGGAUUCCUGAGCGGUCAAAGGGGCGCGGCUGUAAACCGUGUGGCUCUGCCUUCGGAGGUUCGAAUCCUCCUCCCGCCA